CGGGGUGAGUAACGCGUGGGUAACCUGCCUCAUACAGGGGGAUAACAGUUAGAAAUGACUGCUAAUACCGCAUAAGCGCACGAGAUCGCAUGAUAAAGUGUGAAAAACUCCGGUGGUAUGAGAUGGACCCGCGUCUGAUUAGCUGGUUGGCGGGGUAACGGCCCACCAAGGCGACGAUCAGUAGCCGGCCUGAGAGGGUGAACGGCCACAUUGGGACUGAGACACGGCCCAAACUCCUACGGAAGGCAGCAG
rnacentral:rRNA from 1 species